rnacentral:rRNA from 1 species
AGAGUUUGAUCAUGGCUCAGAUUGAACGCUUGUGGCAUGCUUUACACAUGCAAGUCGAACGGUAACAGGUCUUCGGAUGCUGACGAGUGGCGAACGGGUGAGUAAUGCAUCGGAACGUGCCCAGUCGUGGGGGAUAACGCAGCGAAAGCUGUGCUAAUACCGCAUACGAUCUAUGGAUGAAAGCGGGGGAUCGCAAGACCUCGCGCGAUUGGAGCGGCCGAUGUCAGAUUAGCUAGUUGGUGGGGUAAAGGCCCACCAAGGCGACGAUCUGUAGCUGGUCUGAGAGGACGACCAGCCGCACUGGGACUGAGACACGGCCCAGACUCCUACGGGAGGCAGCAGUGGGGAAUUUUGGACAAUGGGCGCAAGCCUGAUCCAGCAAUGCCGCGUGCAGGAAGAAGGCCUUCGGGUUGUAAACUGCUUUUGUACGGAACGAAAAGGUCUGGGUUAAUACCCUGGGCUCAUGACGGUACCGUAAGAAUAAGCACCGGCUAACUACGUGCCAGCAGCCGCGGUAAUACGUAGGGUGCAAGCGUUAAUCGGAAUUACUGGGCGUAAAGCGUGCGCAGGCGGUUUUGUAAGACAGGCGUGAAAUCCCCGGGCUCAACCUGGGAAUGGCGCUUGUGACUGCAAAGCUGGAGUGCGGCAGAGGGGGAUGGAAUUCCGCGUGUAGCAGUGAAAUGCGUAGAUAUGCGGAGGA